CCUACGGGAGGCAGCAGUGGGGAAUCUUGCGCAAUGGGCGAAAGCCUGACGCAGCCAUGCCGCGUGAAUGAUGAAGGUCUUAGGAUUGUAAAAUUCUUUCACCGGGGACGAUAAUGACGGUACCCGGAGAAGAAGCCCCGGCUAACUUCGUGCCAGCAGCCGCGGUAAUACGAAGGGGGCUAGCGUUGCUCGGAAUUACUGGGCGUAAAGGGAGCGUAGGCGGAUAGUUUAGUCAGAGGUGAAAGCCCAGGGCUCAACCUUGGAAUUGCCUUUGAUACUGGCUAUCUUGAGUGUGGGAGAGGUAUGUGGAACUCCGAGUGUAGAGGUGAAAUUCGUAGAUAUUCGGAAGAACACCAGUGGCGAAGGCGACAUACUGGCCCAUUACUGACGCUGAGGCUCGAAAGCGUGGGGAGCAAACAGGAUUAGAUACCCUGGUAGUCCACGCUGUAAACGAUGAGUGCUAGUUGUCGGUCGAUGCAUGCAUGUCGGUUGACGCAGCGUACGCAUUAAGACACUCCGCCGUCGGGUAGGUACGGUCGCGAGAGUAAACUACGAAGAAGUAGACGCGUGAGACGUGCCGACGGACGACGACGAGGGAGGAGG
rnacentral:rRNA from 1 species